AACCUAGCACACCUGCGGUGUGUACCUGCGGAAGGAUCAUUAACGAAUAUCUAUGGCGUUGGUUGUAGCUGGCUCCUAGGAGCAUUUGUGCACACCCGUCAUUCAUAUCAUCUUUCCACCUGUGAACUAUGUGUAGGCUUGGAUACCUCUCGCUUUGGUGACAAGGCGGAUGCAAGGAUUGCUGCGUCGACAAGGCCAGCUCUCUUUGAAUUUCCAGGUCCAUGUCUUUUUACACACUCC
rnacentral:misc_RNA from 1 species